GAGGUGAGCUUGUCUGGUUGUUCUGUGCUCAUUGUAAAGCUCCCAAUACAUAAAGUAAAAGAUGUCCUACUGCUGGCAAUAUUCCUCAUUUGUUAUUAGUUUCCUCGUCAUCAAUAUUCUGUGUCAGCAAUUGUUUCUUACAUCACCUAUAUACGGUGCACCAGUUAAAAUUCUUUGCCUGAAACAAUUACAUGAUUUGAUUGAUGACACUUUGGAAAUUGGCAGGUAUCUGACAGUUGUUGACCGGCACUGGAACCAUUGACUUCACUUGUUUGGCUCAUCCUCUCCACCUUCUCUUCUCUAUUAGCGUGGGCUAAGAUUCCUGCAUAACUGCAUAACCAAUGGUUUGAUCAAUCAUCAACCACAUACUUCCUGACAACAGUGUGGAUUGGGUGGCUGUACUCGAGUUGAGUUGUUCGAUGGACGCUGCUGAAUAAAGAAAAGGAUGUGGAAGAGCCUACCUUUGUGAAAUAUCAUUAUUAUUAUACACAAGCUAUCAUCCAUCAGGUAACGGCUAUCUUUAUGAAUCUAUCUUUUUUAUACGAUUAAAGAACCAAAUUAUCAAAGCUAGAUAUCAC
rnacentral:lncRNA from 1 species